GGAGGCCGCGGGGACCGGGGGACCCGGCUGCACCUGUGCGAGGUGUCCCACCCGGGCCCUCCUGGCUGCCGCCUCUGAGCUCCCCUGCGCCGCUGGCCCGGGGGCCGCGCAGCCCCCCGGCUGUUUAUGGGGCUGUUUUGCCUUCUCCGUCUCUGUCGUUGCUGUCCAGUCGUGGCUGCUGACCCGUCGUGGUUACAGUUAUAGGGCAACAGCUGCGCUCCCUGAGCACCACGGGGGCCCAGCCCCUCCAUUUCGGCCAGGCCGGGCUGGCAGCCCUGGGGAGGAGCCCUGAGCCCGUGCGGCAGGAGCAGAAGGGCAGAGCUGCGGCCCCGCAGGGCUCGGGGAGCUCGGCUGUACAGAGCACGGGGUGCUGCUUUAGCUUUGGGUGCAAGAUCCCAGCUGUCAAUGUGCUCUCAUGCUCAGGGGUCGUUAUAAAGACACACGAAAACCCCCAGUCCAAGGCUCCAUUACCUCCUGUCAGGAAUUCAUCCCUUCGUUCAGCUCCGGGAUCAGCCUCUGGAAAUACCUGCACCUGAAAUACCUUCUCCAGGUGCCUCACGGAGGCUGGAUCUGCUUCCAAACCUGCUUCCAGUCUGCUCCUCUCCCCUGCUCCUCCUUCUCCCCUGGUCAGGUCAUGGCUGGGUUCUCUCGGUUCUCCGGGCUGCAGGGAUCCCGCUGCUUUACCCAGCACGGCUUUGAGUCAAGCAUUCCCACAUUUGCACCCAUAAAAUAAUCAGAGGUUGUAUCCUGUGGAUCCAUAACAUGGCUUUGCCUCAGGAAGGUUGCCCCCGUCUGCUCCAGGACAGCUCGGUUGUGGAAUUUGCUGCGGAGUCGUGGAUACAGCUCGGGAGGUGGGGGCGGUUCCAGAGGCUUUCCCGGCUCUUUCUGGGAGCUCGGUGCCGGCAGAGGGAGCGCAAGGAGCGCGGAGGAGCGCUCUGCCUUUACCCAGCCCUCGGCACCCCGAGGUCCAUCCCGCCCGGGGGCUGGGCCGGACAGUCCCGCUGCCAACGCGCCCUCCUAAAACAAGGCGUUGAUGUUUUUAAGGUGGACAAGUAGCACGUCGUCAGCCCUCCCUCGUGUUCUUCGUGACAGCUGGGCUAUUUUGUUGGAAAAUCUCAAACAAAUCCCGCCUGGAGCGGGUGCCUGUGAAAGGAAACAGCCCCCACGUGCUUUGCAAAGGUUGCAGAUUGCUGCGAGGAAGGUGCCCAGUGGAUGGCUACUCACAGAGCCACUAAUGAAGAGCAUGUUUUCCAUGGGGUCCUGGUGACAUCCAUGUGUGUCCAGGCCGGCACAGGGAUGGUGGGAAUGGGGCUGAAGUGAGCAUGGAGGGAGCUGUGUCAGGGCUGGUGAAACCCCACUGCCCAGCGACUCCUUCAGCCUGGUGGCCGAUCUCUGGCUUCUUUCACAGCUAUUUCACAGAUGUUUCUGUACAUUUAGUAAGAUUUAUUCCGGGACAGUUUUCAAGGUGCCUGCAGAGCUGUCAAUAACUCAGUUCACAGCCCAGCCAACACACGUGCCCUGGAGGCAGCCAGACUCCCCAGACUGGCAGAAUCCCUCAUUUCACCCUUGGUUUAUUUUUGUGGUUUAUUAAUGCUGAUGAAAUACCUCUUUUUCUCACACCAGGAUUGUUCUGUCCUUCUCCACAGAUGUCUUUAAAGAUCCCAGCUCAGACAUUUGGGUGAAGGUUUUAAUUUCCUUGGACUGUAAAUAUUCUUUUGAGCAUCAGGCAGUUCCCUGCAGCAGAACCUGGAGGACAAACAUGCCAAACACUGUCCACUCUGCCUUUCCAGGGCCUGGGCCAGGGGAUGCAGGUGGAGAAGGACAGCACAGGACUCUGGCAAGUGCGGAAGAGACAAUUCCAGCAGUUGGACAGAGCCAGCCCUGCAGCAGCAGCUCCAAUGGAAGCAAUCCCUUCCCAAGCCCCUCUUACAGCUGCCCCAGCUUUCUAUUCUGCUGGCUGAAAACUGGGUCUCCUAUGAGAGCUGAGGAACAGUUGGAACAGGGGCUGGAUGUGGGUUUGUCUCACAGCCAA